GGGCCCGCACAAGCGGUGGAGCAUGUGGUUUAAUUCGAUGAUACGCGAGGAACCUUACCAGGGCUUAAAUGUAGAACGACCGAUUUGGAAACAAGUCUUCUCUUUGAGCGGUCUACAAGGUGCUGCAUGGUUGUCGUCAGCUCGUGCCGUGAGGUGUCGGGUUAAGUCCCUUAACGAGCGCAACCCCUAUCUCUAGUUGCCAGCGGAUAAUGCCGGGGACUCUAGAGAAACUGCCCGUGCAAACGGUGAGGAAGGUGGGGAUGACGUCAAAUCAUCACGGCCCUUACGUCCUGGGCUACACACGUGCUACAAUGGUCGGUACAGAGGGCAGCUACCACGUGAGUGGAUGCAAAUCUCGAAAGCCGAUCUCAGUUCGGAUUGAAGUCUGCAACUCGACUUCAUG
rnacentral:rRNA from 1 species